CACGGGGUGGUCGAAUUCUAAGUCGGUAGAUUGUAAAUCUAUGAAUGAGUAAAUUACUCUCUCGUGA
rnacentral:tRNA from 1 species